AGAGCGAACGCUGGCGGCAGGCCUAACACAUGCAAGUCGAGCGCCCGUAGCAAUACGUCAGCGGCAGACGGGUGAGUAACGCGUGGGAACGUACCUUUUGGUUCGGAACAACCCAGGGAAACUUGGGCUAAUACCGGAUAAGCCCUUACGGGGAAAGAUUUAUCGCCGAAAGAUCGGCCCGCGUCUGAUUAGCUAGUUGGUGAGGUAAUGGCUCACCAAGGCGACGAUCAGUAGCUGGUCUGAGAGGAUGAUCAGCCACAUUGGGACUGAGACACGGCCCAAACUCCUACGGGAGGCAGCAGUGGGGAAUAUUGGACAAUGGGCGCAAGCCUGAUCCAGCCAUGCCGCGUGAGUGAUGAAGGCCCUAGGGUUGUAAAGCUCUUUUGUGCGGGAAGAUAAUGACGGUACCGCAAGAAUAAGCCCCGGCUAACUUCGUGCCAGCAGCCGC
rnacentral:rRNA from 1 species